AACCGCCGUAUGCCGAACGGCACGUACGGUGGUGUGGGAGGAAGGAAAACGAAAGUAGGUCAGAAAACUUACUCCGUUUUCCGACCUACCCGAU
rnacentral:ncRNA from 1 species